AAGGUUUGUGCAAGUGAGGAAAAUGUCAGUUAAACAGUUUGAGGUGUGGACUUGAAAAGAUAAAGCACAUUUUGUUUUAGCAAAGGUGACAUUUGUGCAAACUUGUUUGCAGGAUUUAAACAUGGAGAGGGGCAUUGGUGGUAGUUAACCACUCAUUGAUAGGUUUCUCGCCUGCCAAGCAGAAGGGCCGGGUUCGAUUCACAGCCAAUGCCCAAAUCCCAGCCACUGGAUGCAGUGCUGGUCCCAAGCCCGGAUAAAACAGGUCAACUAUUUCCUUAACCAUACACCUGUGGGGAGCAGAGGGUAACCUGUCUGGUCUGAUGCCACAGAAAAGCUAAUGUAGCAAAACCUGCUGACAAAAACUUGAUGCUGGCCUUGAUGUUGAUAGAAAGGUACUACAACACACAGUGAACUAUAGACACAGUGCCACAUGGGCCCAGCAGGAGGCCAAGGCCAAGAACCCAGCCUCCCCCACAUCCCAAUCCUACAGUAUGGAAUGCGCCGGACAUGCAAGAACAAUUGAUGGAGGCCCCAUCUCAACCCACAAUACGCAAAGCAUCUGAUGGCAACUUCCUGGUACCAGACACCACAGCACACCACCAAAGAUCUUGUGGAGUCAUACACUGAGGGACUUGAGCUGCCCAGUUGGCAUAAGAGGAAUGUAAACGAUAUACAGCAUAAUGUUUUGUGUUGUAAAGUUGUGGCUGAUCAGUGUAUGGCCCACCUGCAAUACUUUCCCAGACCACACUUCGGGAAACACAUGUUUAAACAAUAGCAGUUUUGUCAAUUGCUCACAAACAAAGUAUCAAUUGGAGAUCUCACUUAUACACUAAAAUGAAACUCUAAAUGCAAACUAAACCUGACAAAAACUUUUAGCAUAAUAUUAUUUUUGCAACUAAAUGAUACAUGCACAAUUUGAAUUACUGUUUCAAAGCAGCAAUAAAUCAUUGAUGCACUAUAUACAAAAAAAUUACUUGGUACUCCAUUUUCUCAUAAAGGAUUCUGUAAAAGAUUGCUUUAGUACAGUACUUCGGCCUGAGACGGACAGUAACGGAGUACAUUUACUUGACUACAGUACUUAAGUACAAUUUUGAGGGAUCUGUACUUUACUUGAGUAUCAUUUCACUCAUGACUUUACUUAAGUACAUUUGAGAGGCAAAUAUUGUACUCUUUACUCCGCUACAUUUUCAUCCAUAAGCGUGAGCCAACCCAUGGCCCCACCCAUGGCCCCACCUCGCCAAACUAUUUCAAUUUUUUUUAACAAGUUAAUGAUAGUUUUCGCUACAAGUGUUUGCUGUGUUUACCAAAACAGAACUUCAUCACCGCCUACAAAAAUUCAUCCUCCAACUUGCGGAAGCAUGUCAUGGUACGUACAUUGAAAUAAACUUCCUUACAUUUCUAAGCUAGAUUUUAGCUACAGAAAAGUGCACUAAAUAAUUGGCUAGCUGCGAUAAUGCAGCUUUUUAUAUUCUCGGUUACGUUUGGGUAGUCAAAGCCACAUACACCAACUAAUUUGCCAGCUGUAGCUAGCCACUUAGAUGUACUCCAUGUAGAAUGUUUCUGUACAUAAAUGUAAGCACUGUGGCAGAAGUAAUGUAUUAUUUAGAAAGCUUACUCUUGUACUCUUGAUACUCAAGUACUUUUAAAAACAAGUACUUCAGUACUUUUACUUAAGUAGGCAUCUGACUGUGAUACUUUUACUUGUAAUUAAGUAAUAUUUAGCAAGGGGUAUCUGUACUUUUACUCAAUAAUGAACCUGUGUACUCUGUCCACCUCUGACUUUGGCUCACAUUUCAAUGGACACAAAAUCAUAAGGAUUCAGAAACAAAACAGCUUAUUUUUAUCACUGUAGGUUUUUACAAAAAAAAUUAAAAUAAAAUUGGCUUACAAUAAUCAAUACAAUGUUACUAUAAACUCACAAAGACAAAAAUACAUAAUGACAGCAAAGUUACAUUGCAAUGUAAGGUUUAAGACGUGACAGUACGAGACCAAAUUUAAAUGGCCCCUCAAAUUUACUGCAAAAAUCUCAAAGCAUUGCUGAAAUAUAGUUAAACAUCCUCUUUUGUAUAAUAGGGGAAAUUUAGAAAUAGUGGAUGGAAAAUUAGAAAAUUCCAGAAGACAGAUGACACUAGAACUAUGAUUUUAUUCAAUGUCAAAGGGACUGUUAAAAUCAGCACAAGGGGAGGACUAUUGGUAAUUAAUUCAUAUAUUUUUUCUAUUAAUAGGCAUUAAUUUUUUAUUAAUUAAUAAUUAACUAAUUACCUUUGGUGCUUGUCUUUUAUUUAUAUGUUGGUCCCAACUAUUUUCUGAAUAGGGCUAAAACAAUACAGUCGGCCUUGCUGUUCCAAUACU